rnacentral:rRNA from 1 species
GACGAAGGGGGCUAGCGUUGUUCGGAAUUACUGGGCGUAAAGCGAGUGUAGGUGGUUGUCCAAGUUGGAUGUGAAAGCCUUGAGCUCAACUCAAGAAAUGCAUUCAGGACUGGGCGGCUAGAGGACCGGAGAGGAUAGUGGAAUUCCCAGUGUAGUGGUGAAAUACGUAGAGAUUGGGAAGAACACCAGUGGCGAAGGCGGCUCACUGGCCGUAGUAUGACGCUGAGGCUGCGAAAGCGUGGGGAGCAAACAGG